rnacentral:rRNA from 1 species
UACGGAGGGUGCAAGCGUUAUCCGGAUUCACUGGGUUUAAAGGGUGUGUAGGCGGGCUAUUAAGUCAGCGGUGAAAUCUCCGGGCUCAACCCGGAAACUGCCAUUGAUACUAUUAGUCUUGAAUAUCGUUGAGGUUGGCGGAAUAUAUCAUGUAGCGGUGAAAUGCAUAGAUAUGAUAUAGAACACCGAUUGCGAAGGCAGCUAGCUAAGCGAUGAUUGACGCUGAGGCACGAAAGCGUGGGGAUCAAACAGG